UACGUAGGGUGCGAGCGUUGCCCGGAUUUAUUGGGCGUAAAGGGCGCGCAGGCGGCUAAGCACGUCCGUUGUGAAAUCGCCCGGCUCAACUGGGCGGGGUCAGCGGAUACGGCGUAGCUGGAGCAAGCUAGGGGGCAAUGGAAUUCCCGGUGUAGUGGUGGAAUGCGUAGAUAUCGGGAGGAACACCAGUGGCGAAGGCGGUUGCCUGGAGCUUUGCUGACGCUGAGGCGCGAAAGCGUGGGGAGCGAUCCGG
rnacentral:rRNA from 1 species